rnacentral:sRNA from 1 species
GGGAUGGCAGUGGAGCUCUUUUUUGAGGCGAUUUUUCAUCGCCUCAAAAAAAGCGGGAACGUACAGCCCGACCCGGA